rnacentral:lncRNA from 1 species
CACAGAAUUAUCCUUGGUUGACCCAAUAGUCCCCAAAAAAAAACAAGAAGAUUGCUAUCAUCUUCUUUCCAAUGGUGAGUCUUCUCUUAACAUAUAAUUAUCUCCAUUUUUUCCAAUUGAAAAUUAUAUUUGAAAUAAACUCCAAGAUCAUAUAGGUAGUGCUCAUAGAUAUACUCAGCAAGUGGAUGUGCACAACCCUGUCUUAUGAUAACACGAG